rnacentral:lncRNA from 1 species
CUAUCUCUCUGUUCUAACUUUCGAUCCAAACAAGCAAAGAAGAAGAAAAGAAUGGGAUGCAUAAUGGUGAUGGAGUUUGAGAGGCAGAAGAAGAAGCUAAUAAUAAGCAUGUUAUGUAGAAUCAGAGCAGUGAUUAAGAAGAUGAAAGACAAGAAUAAGAAACUGAUCAGUUUCAACUACGAUCCUAUUAGCUAUUCUCUUAACUUUGACUCUCCUUAAACCUUAAAUAUGUCUUCUUUCUGUUUUUUUCUUCUCUGUAUCAUCUUGUGUGAUACAUGCAUGUUUCUGUUUAGGUCUGUUGUUUAUACUAUGUAUAAAUGGUAUUUUUUUGUAACAUACAUG